rnacentral:lncRNA from 1 species
GACAAUGAUACAUAAUGAACAAAGGAAAGUAUAUACUGUUUUUUCAUCCUUUUAACACACUUAACUCAUCAUUGAUACCAGAAUUAACUUUUUGUAUUACGCCAGACGCGCGUUUCGUCUACAAAAUACUCGAGCUCAUCAGUGACGUUACAAUUAAAAUGGCUUUCACCGAUUCCAGUCGAAUAUUGACAAAAGCGUAUGUCCCCACAAAUACGUUCGAAUAUUGUCAAAAGCAUUUGUUCACGCAAAUAUAAUCAGUACAUCAUUAAAAUGAAG